GCCCUCCUCUGGACAUGACUGUAACGUGAUAUCCUUUCCUUUUGCACAUCUUCAUGAGUCAAGUGUCCACAUGGACCGGGGCUGUGAGUCAGAGGUCUCUGAGGAAAGGUUGUCUGCUGGAUGAACAUCUUCCCAGCUGCCAGGUCCUGGUACUCCUUUAGUUUUCAGAUUAGGAGUAAAAAGAAGAGGUGAUAAGCAUGGUAGCGAAGGGAAUGUUGGACUUCAUAUCAGAUAUGGUGAGUCCAAAUCAGUGUCUUGAAUCCUUUGAAAACAGGCAGUGGGACGCGCAGGCUUCAGCACCUGCAGCAUUAGCUGCAGACAUAAGUGUGCAUCCAGACCAGAGACAACUUAGAAAUGUCAGAGAACAUCCUUUCGGAUCCUGUGGAGUAAGAGAGAGAGCACUAAGCGAUAGAACCGUGAAGCCGAGCACCAGGACCGCGCAUCCACUUGGGAACCGAGUUGAGCAAACAGCAUGAACUGUUUGCAGUUGAUGCCUUACUUCCUAAUGUGUACUUACAAAGUAUUUCAGCAGAAGAGGAUGCAGGGUGCAGCCUCUGGGAGGAACAUCCUCCUUCUCUAGCUCACCACAGCGCCAGCCCUGUUUUUAGCCAGAAAGGAUUCAGGAUCAACAUUAUGCGUUCUGAAUUGGAUGCAUAUUCCUAACUACUGUAUUUGUUACCAAAAGUGGUUCUACAAAUGCUACUGAAAAAAAUCUGGAAAUUCCUAAUGUCCUGAGUAUUAAUAAUAAAGUUUAAAAAAUGCUUUUAUAUCAAAGGUGCAUCGUGACCAAAUUGUUUAAGUUAAAAACAAAACAAAACCAAACCAACCCGAGGGCUGUGCUCUAGCUGGGCUUACUGUCUCUGUACUGGGUCCCCCUGGGUAGGUAAGUUGCUGAUGUACAGGUGUGCAGUAUGUAUUCACCCGAUGUGUUGCAUCGCUGUGUAUUGGCAAGUGUGUGUUGUGGGGUUUGUUUCCAGGAAGCUUUUUCUUGUUAGAGACAGGACAGUGGUGAGCCCAUAACCCCGAGCCAUCACAUCCAGCAGUGUUCAUGGCAUAGAGCCGACUCUGUGUUCAUAUGUUGAGUUGUGAUUAUAGCUAACAUGAACACACAUGAGCUAUUGUUGCUCUUAGUAGAAAUACAGUAUAAAUAUGGGCUUGUAUAUUUUCUUCCUUCCUUUUAAAUGUAAAGUAGAAUAUAUAGAGCUUUGUUGUUUCCAAGGAAAAGGAGGGGAAAAGCCACUGACCUAUUUCACUUAUGAAGUAUUUCCAGAUUGUCAGUCACAAUGUGUACAUAAAUGUAAGCUAAUUAUGGAUAUUUUCAUUUAGGUACCUUUGUUCUCUUGUUUUUUAAAGGUAUGCGUACCACCAAGUCCAAGAUGGUUCAGUGGAAUAAAUAGGACUCUUAAAGAGCGUUAAGGAGGGUUCCAUCUGAGGACCUGGAAAGUGUGAGCAGAGCUGCAUGUUCACAUAUUGAUGCUAAGAAGCAAACCAUAGCACAUCUCCCUUAGCUGUCUUAGCCGUUUCCAUCUUCAUUACACAUAUCUUUGAUAGUGUAGACCUUGCUUGCUGUGGUCCCUCUGGGGAUGACAUGUGCUCAUUUGACAUGAGGAAGGUCAGGACCUCUUUCUGCACCGUGUCCUGUCCUCAGAGCUAAGGGUCAGUGUUGUCUGUUGGUCAUUCCCAACUGAGAGGAAUGAAGCUAAGCUUUAGACUAUUUAAAGAUGUGAUGAGAGCUGAAUGUCAGAACUCACAGGGCAAUCUCUGAGAAGAAACACUCAUUUCCCUUUUAACCAAAAGUGACAAUGUGACCUCUGUCAUGUUGUGUGUGGUGAGGAGAAGCUAGCCCAGGUGACUUGAUUGUUGCACUAUGUGACAUAUUUAAGGACAUACUUGCUGCAUUUGCAGCAGCCCCCCUGUCUGACCUCCCUGGGCAAUCCUGCUGUCACUCAAUGUGAGUUAACUGUGACAAACUCAGCUCUGUGUUAUAUUUUGUUUGCUUCAUAGUUUCCAGAACUAUAUAUAAAUAUAUUUUUUCAAUAGCAAAUAUUGUAGUUAGUGAGUGGUGACCACUUCAACCUUAUCCCUACCAUAUUGGUUUCAGGGAUGGGACUAAGAAUGUCCUUGGAAUAAAAAAAUUAAAAUAUAACCCUGUGAUUUAGAAUGAUGCCGAGGUUGCAGGUUGCAGCCUGCAGCAGCUGUGUGAGCGAAGUGACCGUCUCCUCUGGAUCAAGCGUCCACUCCUCAUUGUGCCCAGGCCCCAGUGCUCCUUCAUCACUGUUUAGUUAUUGUCCGCUGUGGUUUUGAUUAUAUUUUGCUCUUCCUGACAUUGACUGUUUUUUUUUAAUAAAAGAAAAUAAAAAGUAAAUGAAUAACCCCUGAAUGUGACUGGAUGCAGGGAUAAGCCCCUCCCUCCUCCUUGGGCUCUUUCCCUAAGUGGCAGGAUCGCGCUGGCUCUGUAUCUCCCGUGCGUGCGGCAGUCCAAGGUGCAGACCUAGGGAGCACUUGUCAUCACACCUCCUAUACUGAACACAUAACCCUAGGCUCAAUCACUUUAUGGAAAGGGAAAUAAAGUAGACUUUAUUUUAGGGAUGGAGCCGGGGAGUGGUGUGUGGAUGGGAGGCUGGUAUCAACAUCACUAAGUAUUCCGAAGGUCUUCUUGCUUUGUUUUUCCAUUUUAAUUGAUACACUGACCUGGCCCAGGAAAGGAAGAGCCGCUCUCCUUUGAUGUUAUUAGCCAACAUUCCCACAAAGUGACGGUCACCUGUCUCAGAAAGGCAACAGGAGAUAUGAUCCGUGACAUUUUAUUUGCACAUGAAUAUUUUAUUUUUGUAUUCUGGCUCAGCUGCUUCUCUUCGUGGAGUUAGGGAGGAGCCAUAAAGGACUUUUGUAAUAAGUAAUAUUGGCAACGCAUUUUAUACUCCUCUAUGUUUACUUUUGAGAACCUGAAAGAAGGGGUGUGCGUCCGAGAGGAGGGUGAGCGGAGCUUGAGCCAGCGGAAUGUUCCAUUUGUCUGCCGCUUGUGCACGAGAGCGGCCAGCUGUAGCGUCUCCUGGAAACCAACGCCCCGUGCUAUGACGUCUGUGAGCCUAGGUUUCCUUUCCUCCCCUCCCUUCCCCCAUCCUCUCCUCCAUUUUCUUUCUUUCUCAACCCAUCCCUUUUUUUUUUUAAAUCACUUACUGUAAAUAAGUUGUAAUCUAAACCUCAUGUAUCAAUGGGGAAAUUUCAAAUAUAAAUAUUACCAACACG
rnacentral:lncRNA from 1 species